UACAUGGGGUGCAAACGUUGCUCGGAAUUAUUGGGCGUAAAGCGCACGUAGGCGGCCUCAUAAGUCCGUUGUGAAAGUCAAAGGCUCAACCUUUGAAAGCCGAUGGAUACUGUGAGGCUAGAGUCCGGAAGAGGCGAGUGGAAUUCCUGGUGUAGCGGUGAAAUGCGCAGAUAUCAGGAAGAACACCCGUGGCGAAAGCGGCUCUCUGGAACGGUACUGACGCUGAGACGCGAAAGCGUGGGGAGCGAACAGG
rnacentral:rRNA from 1 species